rnacentral:rRNA from 1 species
GAUGAACGCUGGCGGCGUGCCUAAUACAUGCAAGUCGAGCGAACCACUUCGGUGGUGAGCGGCGAACGGGUGAGUAACACGUAGGAAUCUACCUAGUAGUGGGGGAUAGCUCGGGGAAACUCGAAUUAAUACCGCAUACGACCUACGGGUGAAAGGGGGCGCAAGCUCUUGCUAUUAGAUGAGCCUAAAUCAGAUUAGCUAGUUGGUGGGGUAAAGGCCUACCAAGGCGACGAUCUGUAACUGGUCUGAGAGGAUGAUCAGUCACACCGGAACUGAGACACGGUCCGGACUCCUACGGGAGGCAGCAGUGGGGAAUAUUGGACAAUGGGGGCAACCCUGAUCCAGCCAUGCCGCGUGUGUGAAGAAGGCCUUUUGGUUGUAAAGCACUUUAAGCAGGGAGGAGAGGCUAAUGGUUAAUACCCAUUAGAUUAGACGUUACCUGCAGAAUAAGCACCGGCUAACUCUGUG